UUUUCACCAUAAUUUCACCAUUGCAUCGUAUUUUCACUCUGCCUAGAGUCAGCCCUUUAUAAUACAUCCUACUCUCUGUGCUCACAUGCUGAAUUUUAAUACAGCCGAAUUCCCAAUAAAGCUGUUCUCAUUUACAUAUUUUUUCUGUUUCUGAAAGCAGGACCUCGCACUCACCAGGCAGUACUGGCCAUUCUCUUCUACGGAAAGUAGCUAAGGCCUCCCUUGCGAGACGAGAAUCUUCACCAUCUGAAUCAUGAGUGCCGGUGCCCGUCGUCAGUCCCUUCUCUCUCCGUUACUGGACCUGGAUCUGGAUCUCGAUCUGGACACUCAUUACCAGCUUGUGCAUCUCACUGCUGAUAUCAUGAUGCUACUUAACUAUCUUCGCAGCACCCGCUCUAGGAAUGGAGAUCCGGGGUUCCCCCCUCUUCUUCGAUACAGAAUCUGCCUACAGCAUCUACAGCAAUCUACAGCAAAUAUGCUGUCUGAAAGAACCCGUUAAUAUCAAGGGCAACAAGUGCUGAGAUUGUGACGGUGAUGAAAAGGUGGCUGCAGCUGGCUUCAGACCGUGGAGGAGGAUGGAAGAGGUGCAACAAACAGUAGCUUGCCCUGACUAGGAACGCAUAAACCAUUGAAAUCAACGAGGAAAAAAUUCAGCUAAUUGACGCUCUCUCCCUGGGCAAAGCCUGCGAACUUCGCCCGGAGCUCAGUCCAUGUACUUUCGGAAAUUUCGGUUGUGUGGUCUCGCCAUGAGUGAUGCUACUGUACUUUUGAC
ensembl:lncRNA